CCUACGGGAGGCAGCAGUGAGGAAUAUUGGUCAAUGGGCGUAAGCCUGAACCAGCCAAGUCGCGUGAGGGAUGAAGGUUCUAUGGAUCGUAAACCUCUUUUAUAAGGGAAUAAAGUGCGGGACGUGUCCCGUUUUGUAUGUACCUUAUGGAUAAGGAUCGGCUAACUCCGUGCCAGCAGCCGCGGUAAUACGGAGGAUCCGAGCGUUAUCCGGAUUUAUUGGGUUUAAAGGGUGCGUAGGCGGCCUUUUAAGUCAGCGGUGAAAGUCUGUGGCUCAACCCCGGCCUGCCGUCGGAACUGGGUGCCUUGAGUGGGCGAGAGGUAUGCGGAAUGCGUGGUGUAGCGGUGAAAUGCAUAGAUAUCACGCAGAACCCCGAUUGCGAAGGCAGCAUACCGGCGCCCUACUGACGCUGAGGCACGAAAGUGCGGGUAUCGAACAGGAUUAGAUACCCGAGUAGUC
rnacentral:rRNA from 1 species